CAAGUUUUGAAGUAGAAGAAAAACAUAAUAGCUAAGUCUUAAAUCAAUCAGCAAAAAUCAACCAAUAGAGAGAUCGCUCUAAGCCCAAGCAAAUUCCCACACUGCCAUUAAGUCCAGAGUUCAUUUGUACCACCUUUUCAGAGAUUAUGCCUCACCUGGAUCACUCGUUUUGCCACUACUCAGUGUGCAAUCUAGUUGUCUGCAGUGUUUAGAAAAUAGUGUGUGAGCUCUUGAGAGAACAAUGGAUAUACGGGAAAGAAAAAUCACAUAGCACACACAAAACAUAAGUUAAACAAAGCUUUGCAAAGGUUACUAUACUACGAAAUGGGUUCACAAUACUUACGCAAAUCCUGGUUCGUAAAUUCUCACUAUUACUUAGCUUAGUACAAUAAAACAUAAUAUUUUGGAAAACACAAUCUUAUGCGCAUUUUCUUUUCUAUUGGAUAAACAAUCUCCUUAUAACUCCUCACUUUGACUCAAAGAGUCUUAACAUGUCCCAUAAGUGUAGCGUAAAAUUAAACACUCUCCAAACACACCAACAUAUCCCAUUAAAUGGAGCCUAGCUCAACAUUCCCUUAUCUCUCCAAACCUGUCCCAGGGCCUCUUGCCCAGAACACAAAACACAAAACAUAAAGGUAAGUACUUACAAUGUUAUGGCAUGCCAUUAUAUCCAAUAAUUACAAAAGAUUAUUGAGUCAAAACAUUUACUUAUACAUAGAGCUCGCAAAACAUGGUUCAUAAUAAGCUUGCAUAUCACUGUUCAUAAAAACACAUAUAUAAUCACAAAUCACAAAAUAGGGAUAUAGAGAAUUCUUACUCUCAAAAUAUAGGAUAAAGGCCUAAGCUCCUGAUUAACACUAUGGUUCGUACAUACAUGUGUUGAUCCCUAAACACUCACAAAUUUGCUGAAAGCUUUAAACAAGCUUUGCUUAUCCCUUUUCUUUGCUUGUAAACGGUUCUGUCGAGUUCGUAAUUUCACAAACAUACACAAGUCACUAAUAGUACAUUAUGAAACAUACAUAAACACAAAAGAUCCUAGGUUCACACAUGAUAGUCUUUUUAGUGGACCUAGUUUCCUUUGUUGCGCGUGUCUUAACCUAAUACAAAAAUAAAGUCUUACCUUAAAUCCUAAGAGCUAAGUUCUGGGUUCUUGUUUUAGUAGAAAAUUUACCACAAGAGAAAGAAAUAAUCAACGAAGAAAUUUGAAAAAUUUUUGCUGUUCAACAGAUUUUAAUGAAAAAAACUUAUGUAACAUCCUGCCCGGCGAAGACUUUGUGUCUAGACACCGUCUUGGUAAACAAGGAAAAUGAAAUAAGUUUCAAAUAGGUAUUGUGUUAGAAUUAAACUAAGUAUAAGAACCCUUUCAGUACGCCUAUGAGGCCUUGAUGUUGGCGAGCACUAGGUUGGCACAUAGUGAUCAAGAAAUGUGUCUGGUUAGGAAGGAUUCGCGCAAAAGCUUUGAUGGCACGCAGAGUGGGUGGACUCUAUUAUAAAUAAGGUAAACGAUAUUUAUGAUGUGAGUUUAUGUUAGCAGUGUAGAGUAUCCUAUAAGUUUGGCUUUGAGCCAGUCAUGAAGGAAGGAAUAAUAGUCAGGAACCAACCAAACGAGAACCGAGAUAGUAAAGGACCAAAGGUAGGUACUCGAUUAGUUUUCUUGAAAAUUGUAGAUUUAGAUAAGACCAUCCAAUGACUGAUGUGACGUUUAACAAGUUUCAAUAAAGACUUGGGUUUAGUUAAGUGUUUAAGAUAAGUUAAGAGGGAAAUGAUGUGAUUUCUAGCGCCAACAUCGAUUCAAGUUCUAAUGGAAUGAAGAAUGAAGUUUAUAGAUCGGAUAUUCAUGGCCUAAACUUUCAAGAAGCACCCAAGUCCUUAUCUGAUCCAUUGGAAUUGUCAAUUGAGCCAAUCACAAAAGCUCGAGCCAAACUCUUCAAAGAAGCUCUUAUUGGGCUUAUGCGUGGACUUUGGGAACAAUCCCAAGCUAAUCAUGUCCAAAUAGGGUCGAACCUAAUUCCUAUACUGGUCCAAGUGAUCCAAGUGAUGGACAGAAUUCCUGAUGGGCCUAAUUGAUUACUCGGUCAUUUUAAAGACUUUAAUUAUUUUAAGUUUUUCUUAAUUUAAUAAGUUUGCAUUUCAAUUAAUUUCACAAAUUUUAUUUUGUAUGUUAUCAUAUGUCAUCUUGUGUCUAAUUUGCUAAGUUGAUAAUAUCAUUAUUUAUAUGUGUGAGUCUGUGUGUGCAUGUGUGUGUGUGUGUUUUCAUAUUAUGUUGCUAAGUUCUAUCACAUGUUUAUGCGUGUUGAUUGUUAUAUGCGUAUGGGUCUUGAAUCAAGUCAAUAGUCUAACGUAUAGCUUAAGUUCAAUUAGAAGUGUAUUUGUCGAAUUCAAGUAUGAAUUGUUCCAAGUGUUUAACUCCUAGUUAUAUAUAUGUAGGUGGUUGAUCGAUUGGACCUUGCAUGGCUCUUCAAGCUCUUUCAUUAAGCCGAAUACAUGUACAAGAGAGUUUAAGGAAUCUUCAAAAUUCAUGCCAUCAUUUUGGUGCAAAUGACCGUUCGCAUGGAGUGGUUGAAUUCAUGUAUUCAUACAUGUCAUUAAUUGGAAAGAUUCAUUGCAUUAAGGAGAUGCAUGGAUAAUGGCUUGAAGGGGGAUCAAUGUGACUGGUCAUCUCCCCACAUGCAUGGAUCAAGGUUCCAUCCCCUUUGUUCCUUUCCAUGAUAAUCCUUCCAAUUUAAGCAAUUUUCCUAACUUUCAAGUUUGAGUCUCGUUAUUUUAUUUUAGAGGUUCGAAUCAAAUUCGAGAAAUCACAUCAGAAAAUAUCUUCUAUCUUCUUUUUCUUGAGAUAAUAGGACUAGAAGAAAGGUGACGUACUCCUCUAAGCUAAGUCUGAGACCACGAUGUUUGAACAAGAUUUCCUUAAAAGUAGGGCCACGCCUAGUAAUUGGGAGACCUCUAAACUUAAUAAGUAAACUAAGUAUUUCUUCAAUGGGUGAAGUGUUGUCUGCCCCACUGAUGCUCUUAGCGUGUUAAGUGGGCAUGUAACUAAUAUUAGACUAAGGCAAGAAACUGCUUUAGAAAUGGGUAAAUCAUUAGGAAAAAGAAGUUUAGUAAGGUAUUAAGGAAACUCGGAUAAUAGGGCCAUUGCCAAGAAGGGAUAACAUGCCAAGUGUGAUUAGUUAAGAUACCAGAUACGCUCUAACGUAAUGACUAAGUAUAGAGAAUGGAUUAAAGCAUAAGGAUAUGUUGUGUAAAUACAUGUACUCUCGUACACGUCUCUUUACAGCUGUCAAGAAUUUAGCAGGUAGACUAGGACGUGUGUCAAACAUCCAUAGGUAAAAAGGUAAAAUAUCAAGGUAACUUGGGUAAGAAAUGGGGGACCUUUCUCCUUCUUCUUCAAGAAGUAAUCUUUUUUUUAUAAAACGGGGGAGAAAUUAAGAGAAUCCCCAUCAUCCUUCAAGCUGAGUUGAAGAUAUGGAUCUAAGAUGCCCCUUGUUAAGGUAAGAUCUACAACCUUACAUACUAAGUUGUUAAGGAGCAGUUCAGUUUAGUUGGGUAAAGUAAGCAUGGUAGAGUCUUAUUUAAAGAUUUUUUAUGCUCAAAUUAAAAGAAAAUGAGUUAACUGUAUAGAUCUUGGUGAGUUCUCAUGUUCUGUCAAAUAGGGGUUAUCGAUCUACUCAAUAGAAGCCUGAAUCUGGUGUUUAGAGCUGUUAAAGACGCAAGUCAGGUGAGUCUCUAAGUUGACUCUUGCAAAUGUAUUAUGCAUGUUAUAACCUUCUGUGGAAAUAAGCUAAGAAUGCAUGAUGUGAUGAUUCUAUAAGAAAUGUCUGUCUAAUGAACUUGCAUGAUUGAUUUGUAUGGAAUAUAGAUAUGAUCUCUAAGGUUAAUGGUUAAUGUGUCUGAAUGUGUAAAGUGUGCAUAUGUGUGUUUUGAUGACAUGAAUAAGUCUGUUGUGAAAGAGCAUGUCAUGAGUAACUCAGUGAAUGAGUUUGUCAAGUAUGAGUCACUGCAUGAAGUUUAAGGGAAUGUGUUACAUGUCUAGAAGCAUGAAUGUAUUUGUCAUGAUGAAGUCCGAAAGAGAUAAGUUUGAGCCUAAAUGGUGAGUCUGUGUCUAUCUCCGGAGUCGUCUAAAUGGGUCCAUUGGGACUAAAAACACAAAUCUCUAAAAGGAAAAGUCCAUGGCACUCUGAAGACCAUAUAGUGUAAGACCAUGGUUGGGCUAUGGCAUCAUAUGGAAAAGAAUUAAAGGACGAUUGGGUGAGUACCAGCGAUGAGGGGCAAACCUCACGACGGUGAGUUUAGGCAAAUCCCUAUAGUCAAAAACUUCAAUUUCCGUAUAAGUGAGCAUUUGUGGCUAUCUCUGUUUUAAGGAAGCCUUUGUGGCUAUCUUUGAAAGGACACCUUUGUGGUUAUCUCUGUUAUAAGAAAGCCUUUGUGGCUAUCUCUGUUAAAAGAAAGCCUUUGUGGCGAUCUUUAUUAUAAAGAAGCCUUUGUGGCUAUCUCUGUUAAAAGGAUGCCUUUAUGGCUAUCUCUGUUAAAAACAUAGCUUUGUGGCUAUCUUAGUUAAAUGAAUGCCUUGUGGAAAACUCUGUUAAAAGGAACGCCUUCUUGGUGAGACUCUUAAAGGAAAACCUUUAUGGCUAUAUUUCAAAAGGAACGCCCUCGUGGCGAAAUCUGAAGAGCAGAUCUCGUGAUGACUAUAUGAAGACAACACCUUUAGAUGGACACCGAAUGAAUGGCGAACCCUGUAUAGUUACAAUGGAUGAAUAGAAAGGCUAGUGUGCACCAGAGUACGUGGUAAGACAAAUAUACAAGUUAAAAGUUAAGUAUAGAGAGUGCACUGAAGUAAAGAAGAUCUGAGCGAAUUCUGAGUUAAGUAUUGGGCGCAGUCUACACCACCCAAAGGCAAUGAUAAACAAAUGAGUAUGAAAUAAACUAUUAAGUCUGAUAAUAAGAUAAGUGAAUAUGUUAAAGAUGAUGUAAAGGUAAGAUUUAAGAAAGGUUAUAGAAAGUAAAAAGAUGUUAAGUAUAGUACGCUAAAGAAAAGGGAAAGUGGUUCUAAAAAAAAUAUGGUAGCCUCAGUAUGGUACCUGCCAAAGAAGUAAGGUCAAGAAAUACACCAAAGAUGUGCAAAAUAACAUAUGCAACACAAAAUGGAUGAAAAUUUUAUUAUAAGGUUUAGCUCACUAAGUUCUUAUGAACUUACAAAAGUUAUUUCUGUUUUUAGGUUUGUAAAAGAAUAUGCACCGAGAGACGAUGCCAAUGCUAUGCCAAGGAAGUGGUGCGAUGGGCUUUUAUCCAUAUAGAGGAAAAAAAGUGGUAUGUCAAAGUAUGCACUGAAGUUCAUUAAAUAGUAUCCCAAAGUAUACCUAGUAGACUAAGGCCUAGUUUAAGAAUGCUUCUCAAAAGUGCUUUUCUCAAAAGUACUUUUAAGGAGAAGCUUAGAUUUUCAGCUUCUGAAAAAAGUGUUUUUGGACCAAUUUUUAGCUUGGAGAAGCAUUCUUUCUCUCAAAAAGUAGCUUCUUUAGGAAUGUUUUUGUCCCAAAAGCACGUUUGAGAAGCAUCCCUAAACUAGCCUUAAAAGAUAAAGCAAGAUAGUCUGAAAUUUUAUUGAGUCAAAAUAAUAGCCAUACAUUGUAUUUUUCCAAGAAAAUUCGUAGUAUCCAUAGAUCGUCAUUUGUACAUAGGCGAAAUGUAAAAGUAACCAUACAAUGUGUAACACCCCUUACCCGUAUUCGAUGUCAGAAUAGGGUACGAGGUAUUACCAGAACACAUACACUUUUAACCAUAUUAAACCGAGUUGUAAAAUUUCAUCUAAACUAAAACUUUCAAAUUGUUAUUCUUGAUUCGCUAAUUAGGGUUUACAUAGCCCAAUAUACUCACAAUCUUUCAUUUCUUCGUCGUAUGAAUUUAAAAAUUUCCAUUUACUUAUUGAAUUUAUCACGAGUACCAGAAUUGAUCCGUAUCAUUACAUAUUCUCAUGUCGUCACAUUUUCCUAUUUAACUAUUGUAAUAUAUCAAUUACUCAAUAUCUUAUAAACUAAGUGUCACAUAUACAUUAUCCAUUCAUCUCCCAUACAACUAUCAAUAUUAGCCACAAAGAUAGAACAAAUUUUCUCUAUUCGAUGUUAAAUCAAAACAUGUUACUUCAUUACCAACUACCCUUACUCAGUAUACACCUUAAAUUAGCCCAAGUGUUUAACCAAUCACACAUGACAUAAAUAUUUUAUCUAUUAUUGCAGAAUAUAGAUGUGCUACCCAAAUCAUAAUUCACCUCACGUAAUAACUGAGUUAACUUUUAUCAUUUGUCAAAUAAAUUACAAAACAAAUUAUAUAACAAAAUAUAGAUACAUUUUAAACCUCACCAAAAAAAAAUUCUCAUGGCAUUAAAUAAUUAUCACGCAUCAAAGACAAAUGUAUUUGAUAUUUCUAUCACACAAACCAGAUUAAUCAGUGCAACCUCAAUGAUGUAAUCAUCCUUUUAACUUACUUAACCAAGCCAAAUUAUAUCAUCAUCUCACACAUAGAAUGACCCACCUAUCAUACUUCUCAAUUAUGUCACUUAAUAGACCAAAUAUACCUAAUCUUUAUCAUCAUGAUCAAUCCACAACCAAAAUACAUCCAUAUAUCUAAAUUACCACACACACACAUAUAUAUACCAUACACACAUACUAUAAAAUUUUAUUUUCCCCAUGAGCUUAAAUCAUGACCAAUAAUGCACAAAUAUAAGUAUCAUUUCUAUUUCAUCGUUUAUCAAUUAUAAUCGAACAUAUGACCAAUUAUAGAAAAAUAAUUUAUAUAUUCUCUAAUUUUCCUCCUCCUCCUCUCCAUUCCACAUCAUUAAUGUGUAUAAUACAUUUAAGCAACAUUUUCCAUACUAUCACUAUUUUCCUGUAUGUAAAUUCAAGCUGUCUAUCAGAGUCAGAGUCACUAAUUUAUUUAUAUAUCGAUCUACAGAGCUCCAAAUUAAGAUCUGUUAAUUUUCCCUAAAACUAGACUCACAUAUAUUCUUACCAUAAAAUUUUUAGAAUUUUUGGUUUAUCCAAUAAGUACAGUUUAUUCUUUAAAGUUUCCCCUGUUGCACUGCUCAACAGUUCUGACCUCUCUUCACUAAAAAUUGAUUAUCUCAUUGUACAUAAUUUGGAUGGUAUUCCCGUUUAUUUAUAAUGAAAAUAUACUCGUUUAGGAUUCUAAAAAUAUAAGUUUUAACCCCUAAUUAAUUUUGUACAAUUUUUAAUGAUUUUCCAAAGUCAGAACAGGGGAUUCCAAAAUUAUUCUGACUCUAUCUCACAAAAUUUAUUAUAUCUCAUGAUUUACAAUUCCAUUGCUUACAUCGUUUCUUCUAUGAGAAACUAGACUCGAUAAGAUUUAAUUUCAUAUUUUACUCAUAUUCUAAUUCGAUUCCCACGAUUUUUGGUUAUUUUUCAAAGUUGGCACACUGCUGCUGCCCAAAACUGUUUUAGUGCAACAUUUUGAUUACCAUUUUGACCCUAAACUUUUAACACAUGACAAUUUCAUCCUUAGGCUCGGAAAAUGAAAUUAUUGCAAUUUAAUCCUUGGUCCAAGCCUAAUAGUUCUCAUACAUAUCAAUAACAGCCCAUGGAUUCCAUGAAAUUUUAGAAUUUCUACACAAUUUCAAUACUUUUCAACUUAAUCCCUAAAACAUGUUUUCAUCCAAAAUUCUUUAAUAAAACACCUUUAAACAUCCAUUAACAUCUCAAUUUCAUCAUAAAAUAACAAAACUCAUAUGAAAUUAUCAUUGGUAUCUUCCAAAACUUUCAACAAAAUGAGAAACUAGUAGAAUACUAAGUUGGAUCUAAUUGUAAAAGUCUAAAAAUAUAAAAAUUUCAAGGAAAAAGCAAGAAUUAAACUUACUUGAAGCCAAAAUAUGGAAUACCAGCUCCAAACCCUCUUCCAUGGCUGUUUCCUACCGAAAUUUCAAGAAGAAAUGGUCUUGAAAUCCUUAAAAUAAAA
rnacentral:lncRNA from 1 species